CCUACGGGGGGCAGCAGUGAGGAAUAUUGGUCAAUGGACGAGAGUCUGAACCAGCCAAGUAGCGUGAAGGAUGACUGCCCUAUGGGUUGUAAACUUCUUUUAUAUGGGAAUAAAACGUUCCACGUGUGGGAUUUUGUAUGUACCAUAUGAAUAAGGAUCGGCUAACUCCGUGCCAGCAGCCGCGGUAAUACGGAGGAUCCGAGCGUUAUCCGGAUUUAUUGGGUUUAAAGGGAGCGUAGGUGGAUUGUUAAGUCAGUUGUGAAAGUUUGCGGCUCAACCGUAAAAUUGCAGUUGAAACUGGCAGUCGUGAGUACAGUAGAGGUGGGCGGAAUUCGUGGUGUAGCGGUGAAAUGCUUAGAUAUCACGAAGAACUCCGAUUGCGAAGGCAGCUCACUGGACUGCAACUGACACUGAGGCUCGAAAGUGUGGGUAUCAAACAGGAUUAGAUACCCCUGUAGUC
rnacentral:rRNA from 1 species